GGCUGGGUAGCUCAGUUGGAGAAUACUUGGUAUAUAUCCCAGGGGUCCUGGGUUCAAGCCCAGGUUGGGUCA